rnacentral:rRNA from 1 species
CCUACGGGAGGCAGCAGUAGGGAAGCUUCGGCAAUGGACGAAAGUCUGACCGAGCAACGCCGCGUGAGUGAAGAAGGUUUUCGGAACGUAAAACUCUGUUGGUAGAGAAGAACGUUGGUGAGAGUGGAAAGCUCAGCAAGUGACGGUAACUACCCAGAAAGGGAGGGCUAAAGACGUGCCAGCAGCCGCGGUAAUACGUAGGUCCCGAGCGUUGUCCGGAUUUAUUGGGCGUAAAGCGAGCGCAGGUUGUUUAUUAAGUCUGGUGUAAAAGGCAGUGGCUCAACCAUUGUAUGCCUUGGAAACUGGUAGACUUGAGUGCAGGCGAGGCGAUUGGAAUUCCAUUUGUAGCGGUGACAUGCGUCGAUAUCUGG